AUACGAAUGGUGCGAGCGUUGUUCGGAAUCACUGGGCAUAAAGAGCACGUAGGCGGCUCGGUCAGUCAGCUGUGAAAUCCCCCGGCUCAACCGGGGAACUGCAGCUGAUACUGCCGGGCUAGAGUGCGGGAGGGGAGAGCGGAAUUCCUGGUGGAGCGGUGAUAUGCGUAGAUAUCAGGAGGAACGCCGGAGGCGAAAGCGGCUCUCUGGCCCGCAACUGACGCUGAGGUGCGAAAGCUAGGGGAGCGAACAGGAUUAGAAACCCCGGUAGUCC
rnacentral:rRNA from 1 species